rnacentral:rRNA from 1 species
UACAGAGGGUGCUAGCGUUGUUCGGAAUCAUUGGGCGUAAAGGGCGUGUAGGCGGUUUGUUAAGUCAUGUGUGAAAUCCCUCGGCUCAACCGGGGAACGACGCAUGAAACUGGGCAAGCUAGAGUACCAAAGAGGGGGGUGGAAUUCCCGGUGUAGCGGUGGAAAUGCGUAGAUAUCGGGGAGGAACACCUGUGGCGAAGGCGGCCCCCUGGUUGGAUACU